rnacentral:misc_RNA from 1 species
UACGUACUGUGCGAACGUUAUUCGGAAUCACUGGGCUUAAAGGGUGCGUAGGCGGCUUUGUAAGUAGGGUGUGAAAGGCUCCGGCUCAACCGGGGCACUGCGCUCUAAACUGCAAGGCUUGAGUGAGAUAGGGGUGUGCGGAACUUCCAGUGGAGCGGUGAAAUGUGUUGAUAUUGGAAGGAACGCCGGUGGCGAAAGCGGCACACUGGGUCUUGUCUGACGCUGAGGCACGAAAGCCAGGGGAGCGAACGGG